GAUGAACGCUGGCGGCGUGCCUAAUACAUGCAAGUCGAGCGAACGGACGAGAAGCUUGCUUCUCUGAUGUUAGCGGCGGACGGGUGAGUAACACGUGGAUAACCUACCUAUAAGACUGGGAUAACUUCGGGAAACCGGAGCUAAUACCGGAUAAUAUUUUGAACCGCAUGGUUCAAAAGUGAAAGACGGUCUUGCUGUCACUUAUAGAUGGAUCCGCGCUGCAUUAGCUAGUUGGUAAGGUAACGGCUUACCAAGGCAACGAUGCGUAGCCGACCUGAGAGGGUGAUCGGCCACACUGGAACUGAGACACGGUCCAGACUCCUACGGGAGGCAGCAGUAGGGAAUCUUCCGCAAUGGGCGAAAGCCUGACGGAGCAACGCCGCGUGAGUGAUGAAGGUCUUCGGAUCGUAAAACUCUGUUAUUAGGGAAGAACAUAUGUGUAAGUAACUGUGCACAUCUUGACGUUACCUAAUCAGAAAGCCACGGCUAACUACGUG
rnacentral:rRNA from 1 species